UUGGGAUAUCUGUUAUAUUUGGAUGGUUUUACAUUCUUGGAAUAACCUUUGCUGUUACCAACAUACCUUACCUCUUAAGUGAAGAAAACGAUGCUGGUGGUUAUGCCAUUGCUGAAAUAUUUUAUCAAGCAUUCAAGAAUAGAUAUGGAAGUGGAACUGGUGGAAUUGUUUGCUUAGGAGUAGUUGCUAUUGCCAUAUUUUUCUGUGGGAUGAGUUCAGUUACUAGCAACUCCAGGAUGGCAUAUGCGUUUUCAAGAGAUGGAGCCAUGCCACUCUCAUCACUUUGGCACAAAGUGAACAAGCAGGAGGUUCCUAUAAAUGCUGUUUGGCUUGGUGCAUUUAUAUCAUUUUGCAUGGCAUUAACGUAUCUUGGAAGUACAGUUGCAUUUCAGGCCAUGGUAUCCAUUGCCACUAUUGGACUGUAUGUUGCUUAUGCCCUGCCAAUCUUCUUCAGAGUGACCUUGGCAAGCAAGUCAUUCACCCCAGGACCAUUCAAUUUGGGUCGCUAUGGUGUCCUGGUUGGUUGGAUUGCAGUCCUUUGGGUAGUAACCAUCUCAAUCCUCUUUUCAUUGCCUGUAGCCUACCCCAUUACCAAUGAGACGCUCAACUACACUCCUGUUGCUGUUGGUGGCCUGCUCAUCCUCACAGUUUCUUCUUGGAUCUUGAGUGCUAGG
rnacentral:misc_RNA from 1 species